rnacentral:tRNA from 1 species
GAGGUUGUGGCUCAGUGGUAGAGCACUUGCCUCACAUGUGAGAGGCACUGGGUUCAAUUCUCAGCAUUGCA